rnacentral:rRNA from 1 species
GACGAACGCUGGCGGCGUGCUUAACACAUGCAAGUCGAACGGAAAGGCCCUGCUUUUGUGUGGUGCUCGAGUGGCGAACGGGUGAGUAACCCGUGAGUAACCUGCCCUUGACUUUGGGAUAACUUCAGGAAACUGGGGCUAAUACCGGAUAGGAGCUCCUGCUGCAUGGUGGGGGUUGGAAAGUUUCGGCGGUUGGGGAUGGACUCGCGGCUUAUCAGCUUGUUGGUGGGGUAGUGGCUUACCAAGGCUUUGACGGGUAGCCGGCCUGAGAGGUUGAACGGCCACAUUGGGACUGAGAGACGGACCAGACUCCUACGGGAGGCAGCAGUGGGGAAUAUUGCACAAUGGGCGGAAGCCUGAUGCAGCAACGACGCGAGCGGGAUGAAGGCCUUCGGGUUGUAAACCGCAUUCGCCUGUGACGAAGCGUGAGUGACGGUAAUGGGUAAAGAAGCACCGGCUAACUACGUG